rnacentral:rRNA from 1 species
UACGAAGGGGGCUAGCGUUGCUCGGAAUUACUGGGCGUAAAGCGCACGUAGGCGGCUUUCUAAGUCGGGGGUGAAAUCCUGGAGCUCAACUCCAGAACUGCCUUCGAUACUGGAAAGCUCGAGUCCGGGAGAGGUGAGUGGAACUGCGAGUGUAGAGGUGAAAUUCGUAGAUAUUCGCAAGAACACCAGUGGCGAAGGCGGCUCACUGGCCCGGUACUGACGCUGAGGUGCGAAAGCUAGGGGAGCGAACGGG